CCGCCAUAGCUUCAAAAAAAAUGGCUCAAAAUGGGAGGUACAAGAAGAGCUGCUGUCCAAAGAAACCAUGAUCGCCCGCCUUAGCUUUAACAAAAAUGGCUCAAAAUGGGAGGCACAAGAAGAGCUGUUGUCCAAAGUAACCCUGACUUUGCAGAGAAAUUAGGGAUUCGAGGUCCCGCACAUAUUAGAGAUGGAAAUGUUGUUAUAAUACAGAGUGUAAUAUAGGUUCUACAGAAAAAAAAAUCUUAAAUAUUAAUUUGUUCGAGUGCAUUGUACAUAUGAAUUGUUUGUGCUCAUAAUGAUUUGGUACUAAAUUUAUGCAGAAACAGGAAAGGGAGAGCAAGAUAUUUGCAUCUAAACACAGUCAAAGUCAGUAGAAAUGAGAAGAAAGGGAGAUCAAGUCUUUGUAUCUGAAAACAAUAAGAAUUGCAUAAAAUAAAACAUAUUAGAGAUGGAAAUGUUGUUAUAUUACAGAGUGUAGAUAUAAGUUCUAAAGAAAAAAAAUCUUAAAUAUUAAUUUGUUUGAGUGUAUUGUACAUAUGAAUUGUUUGUGCUUGUUUGUGCUCAUACUGAUUUGGUACUAAAUUUAUGCAAAAACAGGAAAGGGAGAGCAAGAUAUUUGCAUCUAAACACAAUCAAAAUCAGCAUAAAUGAAAAGAAAGGGAGAUCAAGACUUUGUAUCCGAAAACAAUAAGAAUUAGAAGAAGUUUACCGAUUAGAAGUGUCCCAAACGACAGGCCUCUACUGAUCACAAAGCAACGGACAUGUUAAUUGAAGAUUUCUACAAGAACAUUAGAAAUCAUCAUUUAAUGAAUUCGAAUUGCUAUCUUUCUCUAUGUGCUUACUCCAAAUCAGGAGCAACGUCCAUGAUGGUCCGCCAUAGCUUCAAAAAAAUGGCUCAAAAUGGGAGGCACAAGAAGAGCUGCUAUCCAAAAACAUGAUUGCCCGCCAUAGCUUCAAAAAAAUGGCUCAAAAUGGGAGGCGCAAGAAGAGCUGUUGUCCAAAAAAACCUUGGUUUUGCAUAGAAAUUAGGGAUUCAAGGUCCCGUACUUUCUCUCUCUCGGCUUCCUC
rnacentral:lncRNA from 1 species